UACGUAGGGUGCGAGCGUUAAUCGGAAUUACUGGGCGUAAAGUGUGCGCAGGCGGCCGAGCAAGUCGAGUGUGAAAGCCCCGGGCUUAACCUGGGAACUGCGCUCGAAACUACUUGGCUGGAGUGUGGCAGAGGGAGGUGGAAUUCCACGUGUAGCGGUGAAAUGCGUAGAGAUGUGGAGGAACACCGAUGGCGAAGGCAGCCUCCUGGGCCAACACUGACGCUCAUGCACGAAAGCGUGGGGAGCAAACAGG
rnacentral:rRNA from 1 species